rnacentral:rRNA from 1 species
AUUGAACGCUGGCGGCGUGCUUAACACAUGCAAGUCGAUCGGUAACGCGGGGGCAACCCUGGCGACGAGAGGCGGACGGGUGAGGAACGCUUGGGAAUCUGCCCUUCAGCGGGGGACAACCCGGGGAAACCAGGGCUAAUACCGCAUACGCUCCACGGAGGAAAGACGGGGACCGCAAGGCCGUGAACUGAAGGAUGAGCCCCAGGAGGAGUAGCUGGGUGGCGGGGUAACGGCCCACCAAGGCGACGAUCCGUAGCUGGUCUGAGAGGACGAUCAGCCACGCUGGGACUGAGACACGGCCCAGACUCCUACGGGAGGCAGCAGUGGGGAAUUUUGGACAAUGGGCGCAAGCCUGAUCCAGCAAUGCCGCGUGCAGGAAGAAGGCCUUCGGGUUGUAAACUGCUUUUGUCAGGGAAGAAAUCUUCUGGGCUAAUACCCCGGGAGGAUGACGGUACCUGAAGAAUAAGCACCGGCUAACUACGUGCCAGCAGCCGCCGCCGUAA